rnacentral:tRNA from 1 species
CCGGACGUAGCGCAGCGGCAGGCGCAUCGCCAUGGCAUGGCGACCACGCCGGUUCGAAUCCGGCCGUCCGGAC